CUGUAAAGCAAGUCAGUGGUGAAAGCCCUGGGCUUAACUCAGGGAUUGCCAUUGAAACUGUUUUACUAGAGUGUAGUAGAGGACGGCGGAAUGAGUUGUGUAGCGGUGAAAUGCAUAGAUAUAACUCAGAACACCUAUUGCGUAGGCAGCUGUCUAUACUACAACUGACGCUGAGGCACGAAAGCGUGGGGAGCGAACAGGAUUAGAUACCCUGGUAGUCCACGCUGUAAACGAUGAUCACUCGUUGUUGGCUACUUAGUAGUCAGUGACCAAGGGAAACCGAUAAGUGAUCCACCUGGGGAGUACGUCGGCAACGAUGAAACUCAAAGGAAUUGACGGGGGCCCGCACAAGCGGAGGAACAUGUGGUUUAAUUCGAUGAUACGCGAGGAACCUUACCUGGGCUUAAAUGCUGGCUGCAUUGGAGGGAAACCUUCAUUUCCUACGGGACCGCCAGCAAGGUGCUGCAUGGUUGUCGUCAGCUCGUGCCGUGAGGUGUCGGGUUAAGUCCCAUAACGAGCGCAACCCCUAUCGCUAGUUGCCAGCAUGUAAUGGUGGGGACUCUAGCGAGACUGCCGGUGUAAACCGGAGGAAGGUGGGGAUGACGUCAAAUCAGCACGGCCCUUACGUCCAGGGCUACACACGUGUUACAAUGGCCGGUACAAAGAGCAGCCACCUGGCGACAGGGCGCUAAUCUCUAAAACCGGUCUCAGUUCGGAUCGAAGUCUGCAAUUCGACUUCGUGAAGGUGGAUUCGCUA
rnacentral:rRNA from 1 species